ACCAGCCCAGGCAGAUGCAGCGCGCCGGUCCCCUGAGGCCACCAGCCUAACAGGCUUCAGGGAACCUGGAUCUGCAGGCGGUGGCCGAGGCCGUGGUACAGCCCACCCAGCGUCCACCCUGCGGUCCGCUGCGAUGGUCAAGGUCCUGGAGUACUGAUGACAGGUGCCCUCCCAGGUGCCAAAAGGAGCAUCUGCAGAUACUGUUCCUGGCAAUUGUAGGGCUCCUGGCAAUCGAAGCACAGGGCUUGGCGAUACGAGUGUGCUGAAAGAACGGACGAGCAAAUGAAUGCUGCUCUUCUACCAUCAGAUUUGGAAUCACGGCUCUGGAUUUGGAUUUUUACAACACCAGGGAAAGCCAGGUGCGGAAGGCAGACAGGGCAGAAGGCGCCUUGGAGCUGGCUUUCAUGCACGGGGACAGGGCCCGAGCGGGGACUUACGGAACUUGGUCCCCCGUCGCUGACCCUGGGCAGCUCAGCUCCUUGUGUAUGAGGCGGAUCAGGAACUGCACCAAAACAAAGGUGAAAGAAGUUGGGGCUGCUCCCGCCAUCUGACGAGCAUGGCUGCAGGAGGGACACCAGGACACUGAUGACCAGUGGGAGGCCAGGCUCUGUGUAUCAUCUGCUUUAAUUCCCACAACAGUCUUGUCACUGGGUGCCAUUAUCAUGCCCAUUUUAAAGCUGUGGAAGCUGUGGAGCAGAGGUUAUGAAAUCCGCCCAAGGCACACACAGGACAGAUGAUGGGCAGGAGGAGCUCCAUGCUCCUGGCCUCUGUGCCAUCCCGCCCAAGGCACACACAGGACAGAUGAUGGGCGGGAGAGCUCCAUGCUCCUGGCCUCUGUGCCAUCCCGCCCAAGGCUGCAGACCAAAGACUGUCCUGCUUCUGUUUCUGAUUUUUUCUAACCAGAGAGAGGAGGAGCUUUAGACUAUGCAUAUUUAGAAAAGAUGGGAAGACCCAAAUCUGUCUGGUAACUCAGGAAUGCACGGGAGAAAGUUCCACCAGUGUUUGGCCACAACCACAGAGAUCCGCAUUCAAGGUGGAUUGGACUAAAAAUAGGCCGACUUACCAGUAAG